UGGGGAAUAUUGGGCAAUGGACGCAAGUCUGACCCAGCAACGCCGCGUGAAGGAAGAAGGCUUUCGGGUUGUAAACUUCUUUUAAGGGGGAAGAGCAGAAGACGGUACCCCUUGAAUAAGCCACGGCUAACUACGUGCCAGCAGCCGCGGUAAUACGUAGGUGGCAAGCGUUGUCCGGAUUUACUGGGUGUAAAGGGCGUGCAGCCGGAGAGACAAGUCAGAUGUGAAAUCCACGGGCUCAACCCGUGAACUGCAUUUGAAACUGUUUCCCUUGAGUGUCGGAGAGGUAAUCGGAAUUCCUUGUGUAGCGAUGAAAUGCGUAGAUAUAAGGAAGAACACCAGUGGCGAAGGCGGCUUACUGGACUGUAACUGACGUUGAGGCUCGAAAGCGUGGGGAGCAAACAGG
rnacentral:rRNA from 1 species